UUGGGCCCAAGUAUGGCAAGAGCACAAGCUAGGGCAUGGCAUGAGCAUGAGCACGGGCAUGGCACGAGCCCGGCCUGGCCCGUUCAAUGUGGACAUGGGCUUUGGGGCGGGCCAGGAUCAAUGAUUUUACUAAAUAGGCAGGCACUGCAUGGCCCGAUAAAUUAAAUGGGACGGCCCAGCGCAACACGAAAACGUUAAAAGCACUAGUUUAAAUGGGACGAACGAGCCCGACAUGGCCCAUUUGACACCUCCAGCAUAUCCUAAGUUGUCGGUCCUAUAUAACCAAAACAGGUUUAAUUUUUCAGUUGAAGGCCACUGAAUUUUCCUAUCGCGUUCGGUACUAGUCUACCGAACCUAAUUAGUGACCGCCAUGCAACUCAACACCCAAAAAAAGGCCAAAACAAAUUAACUCAUA
rnacentral:lncRNA from 1 species